rnacentral:rRNA from 1 species
CAGCAGCCACGGUAAUACGGAGGGUGCAAGCGUUAAUCGGAAUUACUGGGCGUAAAGCGUGCGUAGGCGGUUCGUUAAGUCUGUUGUGAAAGCCCCGGGCUCAACCUGGGAAUGGCAAUGGAUACUGGCGAGCUAGAGUGUGUCAGAGGAUGGUGGAAUUCCCGGUGUAGCGGUGAAAUGCGUAGAGAUCGGGAGGAACAUCAGUGGCGAAGGCGGCCAUCUGGGACAACACUGACGCUGAGGCACGGAAGCGUGGGGAGCAAACAGGAUUAGAUACCCGCGUAGUCCCUGUCUCUUAUAA